rnacentral:rRNA from 1 species
CGGCAGCACGGACUUCGGUCUGGUGGCGAGUGGCGAACGGGUGAGUAAUGUAUCGGAACGUGCCCAGUAGCGGGGGAUAACUACGCGAAAGCGUAGCUAAUACCGCAUACGCCCUACGGGGGAAAGCAGGGGAUCGCAAGACCUUGCACUAUUGGAGCGGCCGAUAUCGGAUUAGCUAGUUGGUGGGGUAACGGCUCACCAAGGCGACGAUCCGUAGCUGGUUUGAGAGGACGACCAGCCACACUGGGACUGAGACACGGCCCAGACUCCUACGGGAGGCAGCAGUGGGGAAUUUUGGACAAUGGGGGAAACCCUGAUCCAGCCAUCCCGCGUGUGCGAUGAAGGCCUUCGGGUUGUAAAGCACUUUUGGCAGGAAAGAAACGUCAUGGGUUAAUACCCCGUGAAACUGACGGUACCUGCAGAAUAAGCACCGGCUAACUACGUGCCAGCAGCCGCGGUAAUACGUAGGGUGCAAGCGUUAAUCGGAAUUACUGGGCGUAAAGCGUGCGCAGGCGGUUCGGAAAGAAAGAUGUGAAAUCCCAGAGCUUAACUUUGGAACUGCAUUUUUAACUACCGGGCUAGAGUGUGUCAGAGGGAGGUGGAAUUCCGCGUGUAGCAGUGAAAUGCGUAGAUAUGCGGAGGAACACCGAUGGCGAAG